rnacentral:rRNA from 1 species
GUGCCAGCAGCCGCGGUAAUACGUAGGGAGCAAGCGUUGUCCGGAUUUACUGGGUGUAAAGGGUGCGUAGGCGGCUAGGCAAGUCAGGUGUGAAAUGCAGAGGCUCAACCUCUGAACUGCACUUGAAACUGUUUAGCUUGAGUGAAGUAGAGGCAGGCGGAAUUCCCUGUGUAGCGGUGAAAUGCGUAGAGAUAGGGAGGAACACCAGUGGCGAAGGCGGCCUGCUGGGCUUUAACUGACGCUGAGGCACGAAAGCGUGGGUAGCAAACAGGAUUAGAUACCCUGGUAGUCCACGCUGUAAACGAUGAUUACUAGGUGUGGGUGGACUGACCCCAUCCGUGCCGCAGUUAACACAAUAAGUAAUCCACCUGGGGAGUACGGCCGCAAGGUUGAAACUCAAAGGAAUUGACGGGGGCCCGCACAAGCAGUGGAGUAUGUGGUUUAAUUCGAAGCAACGCGAAGAACCUUACCAGGUCUUGACAUCGAGUGACGUAUCUAGAGAUAGGUAUUUCCUUCGGGACACGAAGACAGGUGGUGCAUGGUUGUCGUCAGCUCGUGUCGUGAGAUGUUGGGUUAAGUCCCGCAACGAGCGCAACCCUUGCUAUUAGUUGCUACGCAAGAGCACUCUAAUAGGACUGCCGUUGACAAAACGGAGGAAGGUGGGGACGACGUCAAAUCAUCAUGCCCCUUAUGACCUGGGCUACACACGUACUACAAUGGCCGUUAACAGAGGGACGCAAUACAGCGAUGUGGAGCAAACCCCUAAAAGCGGUCUCAGUUCAGAUUGCAGGCUGCAACCCGCCUGCAUGAAGUCGGAAUUGGCUAGUAAUCGCGGAUCAGCCAUGGCCGCGGUGAAUACGUUCCCGGGCCUUGCACACACCGCCCGU